CAAUAACCAGGACAAUGAGAAAUUUACAUCUGGAUGUCAGCGGCCACCAGGCUCCUCUCAGAGGGCCAUCUCCUGUACAGGGUGUUGUGGGGGCUUCCCCUAGACAAAGAAAGAUGGGGUCUGCUUGCUCUGAGUUAUCUAUAAUAAUUAUCUUACCUUUUUGUUUCUUUUUAUAAUUUCUUUCUUUUUUGAGACAGGGUCUCACUCUCUUGUCCAGGCUGGAGUGCAGUGGCCUGACCAUAGCUCACUGCACUGCAGCCUUGACCUCCUGGGCUCAAGUGAUCCUCCCACCUCAGCCUCCCCAGUAGCUGGGACGGCAGGCACAUGCCACCACACCCAGCUAAUUGUUUAAAUUUUUGGUAGAGAUGGGGUCUCGCCAUGUUGCUCAGGAUGGUCUCGAACUCCUGGGCUCAAAGGAUCCUCCUGACUCAGCCUCCCAAAGCACCAGGUGUACUUUGGGCCUCUCCUGCCUUUUUGAUUGAAAGUUCCAUGACGGGCACACCUGGUGAUGGGUCCUGAGAUGGAACCUGCUUGGCCUCCCUCAGCCUGGCCUGAGGGACACUCAUAGUCCCUCCUCUCUCCCUAGGGGCCAAACCAGUGCUCCUGCCACCUCUCUGGCUGCCCCCUAGAGCCUGCCCAUCCCAGCCUGACCAAUGUCCACAGCCAGGGAGCAGCCAAUCUUCAGCACACGGGCGCACGUGUUCCAAAUUGACCCAGCCACCAAGCGAAACUGGAUCCCAGCGGGCAAGCACGCACUCACUGUCUCCUAUUUCUACGAUGCCACCCGCAAUGUGUACCGCAUCAUCAGCAUCGGAGGCGCCAAGGCCAUCAUCAACAGCACUGUCACUCCCAACAUGACCUUCACCAAAACUUCCCAGAAGUUCGGGCAGUGGGCCGACAGUCGCGCCAACACAGUCUACGGCCUGGGCUUUGCCUCUGAACAGCAUCUGACACAGUUUGCCGAGAAGUUCCAGGAAGUGAAGGAAGCAGCCAGGCUGGCCAGGGAGAAAUCUCAGGAUGGCGGGGAGCUCACCAGUCCAGCCCUGGGGCUCGCCUCCCACCAGGUGCCCCCGAGCCCUCUCGUCAGUGCCAACGGCCCCGGCGAGGAAAAACUGUUCCGCAGCCAGAGCGCUGAUGCCCCCGGCCCCACAGAGCGCGAGCGGCUAAAGAAGAUGUUGUCUGAGGGCUCCGUGGGCGAGGUACAGUGGGAGGCCGAGUUUUUCGCACUGCAGGACAGCAACAACAAGCUGGCAGGCGCCCUGCGAGAGGCCAACGCCGCCGCAGCCCAGUGGAGGCAGCAGCUGGAGGCUCAGCGUGCAGAGGCCGAGCGGCUGCGGCAGCGGGUGGCUGAGCUGGAGGCUCAGGCAGCUUCAGAGGUGACCCCCACCGGUGAGAAGGAGGGGCUGGGCCAGGGCCAGUCGCUGGAACAGCUGGAAGCUCUGGUGCAAACCAAGGACCAGGAGAUUCAGACCCUGAAGAGUCAGACUGGGGGGCCCCGCGAGGCCCUGGAGGCUGCCGAGCGUGAGGAGACUCAGCAGAAGGUGCAGGACCUGGAGACCCGCAAUGCGGAGUUGGAGCACCAGCUGCGGGCGAUGGAGCGCAGCCUGGAGGAGGCACGGGCAGAGCGGGAGCGGGCGCGGGCUGAGGUGGGCCGGGCAGCGCAGCUGCUGGACGUCAGCCUGUUUGAGCUGAGUGAGCUGCGUGAGGGCCUGGCCCGCCUGGCUGAGGCUGCGCCCUGAGCCGGGGCUGGUUUUCUAUGAACGAUUCCGGCCUGGGAUGCGGGCCAGGCUGCAGGCGGCAUAGUUGGGCCCAUUCGUCCUGGAAAGGGACUGGGGGGUCCCAACUUAGCCCUGGGUGGGCCGGGCCGGGCUGGGCUGGGGUGGGCCCCAGUCGGCUCUGGUUGUUGGCAGCUUUGGGGCUGUUUUUGAGCUUCUCAUUGUGUAGAAUUUCUAGAUCCCCCGAUUACAUUUCUAAGCGUGGC